rnacentral:rRNA from 1 species
UACGGGGGGGGCAAGCGUUGUUCGGAAUUACUGGGCGUAAAGGGCUCGUAGGUGGCCAACUAAGUCAGACGUGAAAUCCCUCAGCUUAACUGGGGAACUGCGUCUGAUACUGGAUGGCUUGAGUUCGGGAGAGGCGAGUGGAAUUCCCAGUGUAGCGGUGAAAUGCGUAGAUAUUGGGAGGAACACCAGUGGCGAAGGCGGCUCGCUGGACCGGUUCUGACGCUGAGGCGCGAAAGCGUGGGGAGCAAACAGG